GUGGCCAUGGCAGCAGCGGAAUGAGAAGGGGAUGGCAUCACAGCUGGAGCCUGGAGGGACAUGAGCCCCGCUGGUACCAGUAAGAGACUGAAGCCCACCUCAUGUCUCCACAGAGAGUGUCCUAGCAGCAACUUGCUUCAAGAAUCACUAGGAAAUUGGGAUCACCUCUCUUGGACAGCUGUACCACUUUCUGGUUGAUUAGAGUCAAUGGAGCAUCUUCCGGAGGGAGUGUCCCAGUCAGUAGGGAACAGAGCUGUGCUCUGGACAUAAACGCCUCCCUGGAAAAAGGAGGAAUUUUGUCUGUGGAGUUGGAAGAGCAGCACUGGUACAGCCUGUGAGCGUGGAGCGGCCCAGGGGCAUUCAGCUACCAAGGCUGAAGCCCAGGGAGCAGACACAGUGACCCAUGAACACACUGCAUGGUUGAUGGCCAGCAGUGCUUGGGAGAGCCUCCUUUGGCUGGGUGCCUUCUGAUGUGACAGAGAAUGACCACAAUCAUCACAGGCAAGAAGCUAUCAGUGUGGCUGCAAAGCAAUGUCUGGCACAGCCAGAAAGCCAGAAACUGCAUCCAUAAGCAAAAACCAGGGCAGCACAGCAGCUUUCAGUACCCACUGCAGCACCACACAGCCUUAUCUGAUCUGAGAUCUGCAGGCAAAACAGAGUGUUGGACAGCCCAAACAGCAGGAAGCCCCUGAAAAAGAGGCUUCCAAUGCAGAUCGUAGGAGAUGCAAGCAGCUCUGCUUUGUACAGCAGCUGCAGAGAGAAUUGCAGAUAUGCUGGCUGCCCUUGCAGAGCACCAGCUGCCAGUGAACAAAGUGGCCACACAAGCUGCCAGGAAAGAUCAAACCACCGCAGCCAGGCACUACAAAGGCAUCUGGCAGCAGCACAGAGCUCUGUGACUCUCUGCAGGAGACAAGCUACAGUUUGCUCCAAGAGGUCCUGUUGACAGGCAACACUUCCUAGAAGCUUGAAGGCCAACCAUUUAACAACAGCACUGAGUUUUAGGAUGCUUUUAUGGCAUCUUUCAAACACAGUGAGCAGGAGACAUUUUCUAGCUGUUUCUUGCCACUCCCAUUGAAACAGACAACAAAGCUCAAGCUUUUUCCAUUUCUUCUUUUUUCCACUGCAGAGUUUGAGAUGCAUUUUAGACAUCUCUAGAGCCUUCAGCUCCCCAGACUCAUGAAUCACCUCUGCUCUGCAGUGACAGCAGAGCCCAGGCUAUAUUCUGCCAUCACUGGGCAUCUCCCUGGGGGAACAUAAUGCUGACCUCAGUGGCUGAUGGAAAUUCAUGACUGAGGAAAGCACCAAUCUGGCACAUCACACAGGGUUAUCACGAGAGCUCCUGUUUGGACCUCCUGUUUAUGGCAUAUAGAUGAAGGAAACAAGAAUGAGUGUGCCAGAGUCCCUGAAUGUACACUGGGAAUUCAAACAUGAGGAAUAUGAUGAAAGAGCUGACAAAGGAAUCAUCCUUGGUUGACUUUCUAGUCAGAUCCUAGGGAGAGCUACUGUGCAUUUAGAAAAACUAUGUCUAGUGAUAUGAGGACAGGUUGGCUGCCAUGUACCUAAAGACUUUCUGAGGCUGAGUCCAUCCUACCUCUGUGAGCUACCUUGGGUUCAGUUCAGCUUGUCAGAAAUCCUUCAGGGAAUUCUUACGGCCCACAAGUACACAGGUACACUACAUAGGAACAGCACUGUGUAGUGUGCACCAGCCAGGGAGAUAGUGAGUGCAGGGGAAGCUGUUAGGCUAUGAUUGUGCCAGCUGGCUCUGUGACACUUCUGUUGUAUAUUUCUGCAAAUACUAUUUUAUCUUCAGGGCAAGGAUGAGGACAGGAUAAACAUUUUGAACAGGAGUCAUCAAUACAGAGAGCUUACAGGGGCUGCUCCCUGCUGUGGGGUCAGCCGUCUGCAAAGUACAGCACAAGAGUGAGGUUAAUUCCAGUAUUUCCUGACAUCUGAGGGCUAUCUUGGCACCAGUAAAGUUGCACCACUGAUGCCACACUACAAGCUCUAUCAUUCAUGCCCUGGAUCAGAUUUGCAGCCUUGUUUUCAGAAGCUUGCGCUUCCUGCAGAUAUGUUCCUGUACUUGUCUGAGAGGAGCAGGCUGUAACCCCCAGGCCUACAGCACAUCCUGCAGCAAGUACCGCCAAUAGCACUGCUGCUGCUGAAGGAGGAUCUGUGUUUUUCAUGUCACUGUCUGAUUGCUGUGUCCCCAGACACCACUGACAGAAAAAAUGCCUGAAAACCCAGGAGCAUAGCUCACAGGCCCUUCCUCCUCUGCUACCAGAGAACAGUGCCCUUUCCUCGAUCAGGCUGAUGGAAAACAUCAUAGGAUGGAGCCUUGUUUCCUGCUUUGAACAGGUUAUCCCCUCAAUGGCAGUGACCCAAUCCACUGAAAUUAAAUUGUACAGAAACUAAAUUGUGCAGAGAGCAAAUCUGCAAAAACAGACUGAAGUGGACAACUUCGAGAACAUUUUCAAAUCAGUAGGAGCUUAGUGUUCAUCACAGGUUUGCCUCUCCUUAUGACACAGGCAAAAAUGUCUUUUUUAAACUAACUUUUUUUUUCUAAUGCAUUCAGAAGAAUAAACAUAA